UGCUGGAAAUUUCAUGUGGAGAGGAUGCUCCUGAAAUCUCAGGGUUCUGCUGUACUGGUGAAAUUGUUUCAAGAAUACCUUUCACAUAGCAUUAAGGGUUUCUGCAUGUUUUUUAACUUCAAAAGUUUUUAGCAAAGGUCCAGCCAAUCCAUAUUUAUUACUUUGCCUCAUUGCAAAUUCAUUCUAUCAGAGAGAUGCUGAAUCAUGAAAGCAUGAAGAACCCACAACACCACCAUGCCAGGCAGAGUAAAACUAGAGCUCUUUGAUGUGGUGGCCAAUCUCUGCUGCUAGACUGCUGUGACCUUGGCUAUUGAAGAGAUGCAAAUGCCAAAUCUAUCAUUCAGGGAUCUCAUUCAGGCUUGUGACACCUUCUGGAAUAUUUUUGGGU